AUUGAACGCUGGCGGCAGGCUUAACACAUGCAAGUCGAGCGAGCGGCGGACGGGUGAGUAAUGUCUGGGAAACUGCCUGAUGGAGGGGGAUAACUACUGGAAACGGUAGCUAAUACCGCAUACCAUCAGCUGUGACCAGAUGGGAUUGGCUAGUAGGUGGGGUAAUGGCUCACCUAGGAGACGAUCCCUAGCUGGUCUGGGCGGAUGACCAGCCACAUCGUAACUGACCGCCGGCCCAGACUCCUACGGGAGGCAGCAGUGGUGAAUACUGCACACUGGGCGCAAGCCUGACGCAGCCAUUCCGCUUGUGUGAAGUAGGCCUUCUGGUUGUAAUUCACUUUCAGCGAGGAGGCGUUACUCGCCGAAGAAUCACCGGCUAACUCCGUGCCAGCAGCCGCGGUAAUUC
rnacentral:rRNA from 1 species